GAUGAAGAACGCAGCGAAAUGCGAUAAGUAGUGUGAAUUGCAGAAUUCAGUGAAUCAUCGAAUCUUUGAACGCACAUUGCGCCCGCCAGUAUUCUGGCGGGCAUGCCUGUUCGAGCGUCAUUUCAACCCUCAAGCCCUCGGGUUUGGUGUUGGGGAUCGGCGAGCCUUUCUGGCAAGCCGGCCCCGAAAUCUAGUGGCGGUCUCGCUGCAGCCUCCAUUGUGUAGUAGUAAAACCCUCGCAACUGGAACGCGGCGCGGCCAAGCCGUUAAACCCCCAACUUCUGAAUGUUGACCUCGGAUCAGGUAGGAAUACCCGCUGAACUUAAGCAUAUCAAUAAGCGGAGGA
rnacentral:misc_RNA from 1 species